UACAGAGGUGGCAAGCGUUGUUCGGAAUUACUGGGCGUAAAGGGCGCGUAGGCGGCCUUCUAAGUCAGACGUGAAAUCCCCCGGCUUAACCUGGGAACUGCGUCUGAUACUGGAGGGCUUGAGUGCGGGAGAGGAUGGUGGAAUUCCCAGUGUAGAGGUGAAAUUCGUAGAUAUUGGGAGGAACACCGGUGGCGAAGGCGGCCAUCUGGACCGCAACUGACGCUGAGGCGCGAAAGCGUGGGGAGCAAACAGG
rnacentral:rRNA from 1 species